GGUAGAAAAGUUUGAUUCCUGAUGUAACCUUCUACCACGGAGUCCAAUUACUACCCCUAUAGAGGUAAUCCAAUUCGAGAUAUUAAGGAAUCGAACUCCUGAUAUUGGGUGGGCCCUACAUAAUUUAUGAUUUCCUACUUGUUGGUAAACGCCAGAAUACUUUGCGAGGAGUGCAAUUCCGUUUCUCUACAUUCCAACCCCGAUUUGUAAACACACUCUCAAAGUUGCCCAUGCUCUCAUCGACAAAUCUAACAAAGAGAGCACGGAGUACAUAAAUGAAGAUGAGCUCCAUGACCACGAAGAAAAGUUUAAAGUCCAAGAAUAUGAAAAAGAUGAGUACAAAUGUGGAUAUUAUUUUUUAAAUUGUCUAUGUGCUUCUUAGAAGAAUGUCAUAAUUUUCUUGUAAUUUUCCCAAGACAAUACACAUGACGUAGGAGAAGCCAAGGGUUCUCGAGGAGACGAGGGAUAGAUGACCUGUGAUUUGCUCAACCAGGGGCAACAAAGCUUGCUCACGUCACUAAUCGUGGAUUCACUCAGACGACCAUGCCAAAUGCUUGAUUUUAGAAGGAGAAAUCACUCUUUUCAAAUGCACAAGGCAAAUACAAUUUUUUAAUUCAUUCAAGUCUGCCUCCUGCAUCAACAUACAUACAUACA
rnacentral:lncRNA from 1 species